rnacentral:tRNA from 2 species
AUAAAUAUGACGAAAUAGGUAGACGUACUAAAUUUAGGAUUUAGAAUUUAAGAGUUCGAUUCUCUUUAUUUAUA